GCACCUGUAGCUCAGCGGUUAGGGCGCCAGCCAUAUACACUGGGGCUGGCUGGUUCGAACCCAGCCCAGGGCC
rnacentral:tRNA from 1 species